GGGGGCGACUGGCAUCGACCGGAUGACGGAGAGCCAAGUUGCAUGUCCAGGACACCGGUUGGCCUGGUUAAAAAUCCGGUACCUUAAGUUUAAUUGGCAACUCACAGUUGCGCAUGGCUGCCUAAAUUGGCUGGCCCGUUCUCCUCGGCUUUGUCUGCGAGCUGAGACAGGACGCCAAAAAGCAGGCUGGUUGAACAGGUUGUUUGGGACUGUUUGACGAGAUUUCACCAGACUAGCCGCGUUCGGAGCCUGUCGUUCGGCGACGGACAAGGCGAAUUUCAAAUGAUCGACUAAACAUGUAGAAGCUUGCCUUGAAACAUCACGGGACGGGGGUUCGAUUCCCCCCGCCUCCAUUC
rnacentral:tmRNA from 1 species